rnacentral:rRNA from 1 species
UACGAAGGGGGCUAGCGUUGCUCGGAAUCACUGGGCGUAAAGCGCACGUAGGCGGCUUUGUAAGUUAGAGGUGAAAGCCCGGGGCUCAACCCCGGAACUGCCUUUAAGACUGCAUCGCUUGAAUCCAGGAGAGGUGAGUGGAAUUCCGGGUGUAGAGGUGAAAUUCGUAGAUAUUCGGAAGAACACCAGUGGCGAAGGCGGCUCACUGGCCUGGUAUUGACGCUGAGGUGCGAAAGCGUGGGGAGCGAACAGG